UACCCGGUGGUGUAACGGUAACACAGAGGCCUUUGGAGCCUUUAUUCAUGGUUCGAAUCCAUGCCGGGUAGCCA
rnacentral:tRNA from 4 species